UACGUAGGUGGCAAGCGUUGUCCGGAUUUACUGGGCGUAAAGGGCUCGUAGGCGGCCAACUAAGUCAGACGUGAAAUCCCUCGGCUUAACCGGGGAACUGCGUCUGAUACUGGAUGGCUAGAGGUUGGGAGAGGGAUGCGGAAUUCCAGGUGUAGCGGUGAAAUGCGUAGAUAUCUGGAGGAACACCGGUGGCGAAGGCGGCAUCCUGGACCAAUUCUGACGCUGAGGAGCGAAAGCCAGGGGAGCAAACGGG
rnacentral:rRNA from 1 species